AUUUAAUAUCUCUUAAAAACUAAACGUCUUUUCUGUUGUGCUCAGUCCAGUGGCACAGGAGCAUCCUGAAGAGAAGCAAUGGUGUGAGCAAGAGGAGGAUCACACUGUGUGUCUGGCACCCCUGUGUGCUGUGAAGAAUGAUGGAAUUAUCUCAGAAUGGUGUUUCAUUCUUCUGAAAACAAUAUAGUGAAGUGGCUGACCAAACCUGGUAUUACCGAUGUACUGAAGUGAAUCACUAGCUGAAGACACAGGCAUCAAUGGAGCCAACAGGAUGCUUGACAGUAAGAAGAAAUUUGGCAGCAUGAUCUUGUGAUGAAUGCUUUUGAACUGAGUUUGGCUUGGAAGCAUACCUGUCCUUGCUCCUUUACUUCCCAGAAUAGGUGUUCUUUGGUGACAGUCCCUUCCGUGGAAGGAAACAAAGAGUUUUGCUGUCCUGGUUGA
rnacentral:lncRNA from 1 species